GGUGGUUGAAAUACUGAAUAUAAAUGGGGUUUGCUUGCAAAAUCCGCAUGGGCAAAGUUGCAGGUAACAGCUAGUACAGUAUAUAAGCAUAUACUCUCAUGCAAAUGCAUCAUGCAUACAUUCUAAAAUGGUUAAUCAAAAGCCAUUUUAAAUUGAUUUCAAGCUUAGUUAUACCAAAUUUAUAAGCCAAAAAUACACUCCUAAAAAGGCAUUGCCAAUUAAAGCACUAACUAAAGAAACUUUUGUAACUGAAUUUUGUAAAGCAUUGUUUUCUCAGUGUAAUCCAUGAUCUGGUACAGGUACUUGUUUAUGAAGAACAAUAUCUGCAGAAAACUUAAAACUUAAAAUUAAAAAAAAUGCAAUAGAUGUAAUGUUUUUAAGAUUAUUGUUGUUAUUUAAAUGAAAUAAUUUAUUACAUAAUACUGUAUAACAAUAGUAAACUUGUUAGAUUAUUAUAAUGGAAAGUGUUUGGAAUACAUAGAUUUUAGGUCAUUAGAAAAAUUACUGUAGACUACUGUACCUAACCAGAAAAGAUGGGACUGCUGUAAAGAAUUGCAAGAUAGUGAUACUUGUUUCUUUAAUUUUGUCUAGUCUAGUUUAAUUGAAUUUAACCUUAAAUAGAUAAAAAGCUGUCAUACUAUUUUUUUCCAAUUAUUUAAUUAUUCAUCAUCAUCAUCAUCUCUCUACUACAAAAUCAUUUAUUAAAAUUCAUUCUAUGAUCAAGUCAGAUCUAAAGAUAAUCUAAUGUAAUAUUUCUGCUUCAAAUUAUUAGGUGGCACAUCAGAAAUUUAUCUGAAUAAUAGAUGCCAGACUGAUAAGGCUACUGGUACCUGCAUUAAUUAGAAAGUAAAACUGG